rnacentral:misc_RNA from 1 species
UCCGAUUUUAAUAUCGGCAGUCUCGUUAGAGUGCCCUUUCGUAGCAACUAAUGACAAGGGUUGCGCUCGUUGCGGGACUUAACCCAACAUCUCACGACACGAGCUGACGACGGCCAUGCAGCACCUGUGUUCCGAUUCCCUUUCGGGCACACCCCCAUCUCUGGAGGCUCUCGGACAUGUCAAGGGUAGGUAAGGUUUUUCGCGUUGCAUCGAAUUAAUCCACAUAAUCCACCGCUUGUGCGGGUCCCCGUCAAUUCCUUUGAGUUUUAACCUUGCGGCCGUACUCCCCAGGCGGUCAACUUCACGCGUUAGCUUCGUUACCAAGGAAUUGCUUCCCCGACAACCAGUUGACAUAGUUUAGGGCGUGGACUAC